rnacentral:lncRNA from 1 species
AACCGAAACCGAACUGUGGAGUACGGUUUCAAAGUUUUUGGAACCGAAACCGAACCGGUCAACCUUAGGAACCGGUCAGAAACUGAACCGUUUAUUACAGUUCGGUUCGGUUUGUUUUUACGGUUUGGGCUUUUUAAAUUUUGGGCCUGCAACCUUAAUAUUGUGUGGGCUUUCAGAAUUUAUUUAACAUUAAAUCCAAGAGUCCACUGGGCUAAUCAUAUUAACAUAUCUUAACCAUUACAAAAU